rnacentral:rRNA from 1 species
GAUGAACGCUGGCGGCGUGCCUAAUACAUGCAAGUCGAGCGAACAGACGAGGAGCUUGCUCCUCUGACGUUAGCGGCGGACGGGUGAGUAACACGUGGAUAACCUACCUAUAAGACUGGGAUAACUUCGGGAAACCGGAGCUAAUACCGGAUAAUAUAUUGAACCGCAUGGUUCAAUAGUGAAAGACGGUUUUGCUGUCACUUAUAGAUGGAUCCGCGCCGCAUUAGCUAGUUGGUAAGGUAACGGCUUACCAAGGCAACGAUGCGUAGCCGACCUGAGAGGGUGAUAGGCCACACGGGAACUGAGACACGGUCCAGACUCCUACGGGAGGCAGCAGUAGGGAAUCUGACGCAAUGGGCGAAAGCCUGACGGAGCAACGCCGCGUGAGUGAUGAAGGUCUUCGGAUCGUAAAACUCUGUUAUGAGGGAAGAACAAAUGUGUAAGUAACUAUGCACGGCUUGACGGUACCUAAUCAGAAAGCCACGGCUAACUACGUG